UUCCUCGCUAAUAAACCUAGCCUGAGGCUGAGACACGUUCGAGAAGAAGCAGAAAAUUACCUUUCAGGAAGCCAACGUGAGGUUUGCUCAUCUAUCGUCAGCUGGGACCCUGGACCUGCCUCUUCAUGCCUCUGACCUCAUGCUGCUCGCUCAGAACCCAAGGUCAAAGUCCCAGGAAUAGAGACCCAGUCCCCUCCCCAGGCUUUUUAGAAGCACUGCCUCUCCUUGCCUCCUGUUUCUAAAACUCAGCCACCAAACCCUGAGUCAUAGUUUCCCACCCUCAGGAAGGAGGGGAUGCCCACCCACAGGAAGGCUUCUGUGGCCCAGAGCCACCCAGGCAGGAAGCCAAGAUGGGAGGCUGCUGGGCACCUGCUGGUUAGAAAAGGGACCAGAGCAUGGGCACCUGGACCAGGCCUAUGUUGGACUGCAUCUCUCACCUGCGCACCACCAACCUUGCAACUGCUGUGCAAACCCCACUGCAGGGCUGGCUUUGCCCCCAGCCUCACACACGCAUGCACACAGGCACGCAGGCUUUGUGCUGCCGAGGUGGCUGGGGCAGCGCUGGAGCCUGGGCCGGAGUCGCCUUCUCCCUUCGGAGCUCACGGGGCCAUUGCAAGUCUGGUCACAUCUCUGUGCUUUCAUUGCCUUGGUACAAACCGAGACGAGCAUUUUCUUUACCAAGCUGCUCUUCUGGGGCACCGUGAUGCCGGCAGACUCAUGGAAGGCUGAGGCUGCGGACGCUGCGUCCCUUCCUGCUCGGUUUGGAAGCGUGGGGGCAGCAUCCAGCACCCUGCCUCCCCUGUGCACUUGGCUGGCAAACCUCAGGAUAGACAGAGCCUGGAGCCAACAGCAGUGCCCCCAGGCCUGCUGCUCCUGAGGGACAUCUGAGGGCUACCGUACCCAACCUUGCCUCUGAAGCCUGUAGCCAAGGAAACAUUUCUUCCUAGCCUCCCCACACACAACGAUUUGUUAUGAAAAUGUCCCUGCAUAUGAAUAAGUCAGAAAAAUGUUAUAAGGAGCACAUACGUGUAUUCACUACCCAGAUUUCUACUGUUUGCUCUCACUUUUCUAGUGUAAAAUGCAGCACAGAGCCUACCAUUUUCAUCCAUCAGAGCACACACUGGAGUGGUACACCCACCACGUCUAUCUAGCUGCAGACAUCUGCAUCACCUGAGAGGCUCCCACGGAGAGCCAUUCCAUUACUGCUGCUCUCUAGCCCCUGGCCAGCACUCAUCUACUGUCCACAGACAGGCUUGCUCUCGGCGUUUCAUACCCAUGGAACCUUCUGGACUGCCUUCUUUCCCUUCCCAUCACGUUCUCAGAGUCCAUACAGCGUCGUGACCUAUACAGUAAUAGUCUAUCGAUCAGACAGAGCUCACUGUACACAUCUACUCACCACAGGAUGGCCAUGUGGAUUAGUUCUACAUUUGGGUUAUCCUCUUCUUCUUCCCCUCAGAACCCAAGGAAGGGCUCUAGGCAUUUAGUCUCUAAGCUACAAGCCCCCAGAGACCCUACACUGAAUGUUUAGUCACUUGACUUUCCAAUCAGCAAAGCUCACCCAUGUCUGACAUGGGGACGAAGGCAGAAGACUCCAAGUGGCCUCAGUUGCCUCCAUCCGAGGGAAGGGGCCAGCGGGGCGGGAGGACUCACAAGUGUCCCCACAACACACCUUCUGACAGAUGAAGCCAGGUCCCAGCGCCACCGGCAUUCCCUCUUUAGCCUCUCAGGUCUCUAUCUCAUGGGGUUGCUUCAGAGACAAGGCCAGUGCUGCCCAAUGGAACUCUCCAUGAGGAUGGCCACGCUCUUCCUCCACCAGCCAGGGCAGCUGUUGCUACCCCGCAGGCCUAGGUGGCCAAAGUGAGACUCAAAAUGUGGCUAGUGUCAGUGGGGAAUGGAAUCUUCCAUUUUGUUUCACUUUUGUUUACAUCUGAAAUGGAAGGUUCACAUGGAGCUGUGGCGAUUGCCAGGGACAGGCCAGCUGUAAGGGCAGAAGAAACAAAUGGCCUGGCUCCUCGACCUCAUCUUUCCCCUUCCUCUCUCUACUUACCUCAGCUGUCUGGGCGUGGGGAGGCUUCUGUCUGCAGCCUGGACCAGACAGAGCCUAUCUAGAAGGACAGCGGGUAUGUGGUGGGGCUCUCAGGGAACCAAACGGACAGCAGCUGGGGAGCCGGCUCCUCAGACGCCAUAAUGACAAGAGUCUCUGCCCCCGACCUGGACCCUCCUCUCUGCCCUGUUCUAGAACCACCCCCUUCCCUGUCUCCCCCAGCAACUCCUGAGGUCAUCCCCGGAAUGUCUGAGCAGGGGCUGUGGGAUUGGAACUUGCCUACCAUCUCCACGCAGGAGCAGACCCCUGGGUGCUUAUGCAGAGAGUACAACCUUGGUGCCGGGCUAGGCUGAGGGUCAGGCGCUCGGGGAGACCACCCCCCCCCCACAGCCGCUCUUCUGGUGUAUGGGUGGUCUCACGUGACCCCAGAGCACCCGCUGACCCUGCCGGCUCCCUCUGCAGACGCAGGAGGACACACUCAGAAGGUGAAGUGACUUUUCCCAGGCUCAGCCAGCAAGGCUGGUCCCAGGCCCAAGGCCACCCUGGCAUGGAGAGUUGCACAAGCUCACUCUCCUGGGACCUCCAGUGCUGGCCAGGCAAAGAGCUAUUUGUCCCCAGUCAGCAGGGAUGAGAAGCAAGAGUGCGCCAUUGCUCUCCUGCCCCCAGUCACUUGGACGUGUCAUGUGAGAUCACGGUAAGGUGGCCACGAAGACUCGGGGGGCAACUUUAAACACAGCCAUGAGCACCGCUGGCUUCGGUCUCUGUGGUCACCACGUCCAGAGGCAGCUGACCACAGAAUGAAAUGAGGAGGGAAAGGCACCACACUGCGCAUGUGCAGAUGUCUCUCCUGCCGUUACCCCUCCCGAACGGGGCGGGGGCCGGGGGUCUCUUUGUGGGAAUGUGCAGUGUGACAGUCCCUCACAUGGCUCUACGGAGUGUUUGGCACUACAGACAUCCUAGAGAGUAAGCUGGGUGCACAGGAGGACAUGCCCAGGUCACAGGCAGUGCUCUGCCUUCUGCACAAGGCAUUGGCACACUCUGGCAGAACCAACGCCUUCAGACACGGAGGGGCGACUGUCAGGCUCUGAGACUCCUGCUGUCCUGUCUUGAGGACAGGCCUGUUCCCUUCCUGCAAAGUUCUUCCUUACCUCCCAGCUUCCCAUGCUCCUGUAGCAGAAGGGCCCAGGGGUCCCACCACAAACCUGUAGGGACACCUUGCCUCCCACAGCUCAAAAUCCCAAGUGGCCCCCCUGCUUUAUCCCUGUUGUCCAGAUGGGGCCACCUCUGCCCCAGGGCUUUUGCACUCACACAGUCUCCUCCUGCUAGCCUCUGCUCAAGUCCAUUCCCCUCGGGCCUGCUGCCCACUUCCUCAGUUAACCCUGCCUCCUGUCCUGGCAGUCCCUCGGUCCUCUCACUUCUUCAUCUAUCAGCCCUCCCCUAACAUCCGAUGUACUCCUUGCUGGUUGUAUUUUCCGAUGGUGGUAAACGUUAACGUUUGUUAUCCCGACAGCUCGCUCCAGUGGUAUUAAGAGCAUUAGCACGGCUCUGCCGCCCUCACCACUAUCCCCAUAGCCUUUCAUCUCCUAAACACGAACUCCCCGCCCCAGCCCACUCUGGUACCCUCCGGUUUCCUUCCGUCUCUAUAGCUCUGACUCUAGUGACCACUUGUUGGUGUCAUUACGGCACGGAAUUACCCCACUGUCCCUCUGUGCUUGACUUCUUUCCCUCAGCAGUCCAUCCAGGCUGCGGCACGUUCCUUUCCACGACUGUCUGUCAGGCUGGGUGGGGUAGCACAUGCCUUUGUUCUCAGGACUUGGAAUUUAAUCUAGUAGGCAGAUCUCUGUUAGUUCGAAGCCAGCCUGAUCUACAGAUCAAGUUCCAGGACCUCCAGAGCUACAUAAAGAAAUCCUGUCUCGAAAGACCAAAACCAACCGAAUAAAAGAAGCAAUUGUCUGUCUCACUUGCUA